UAUAGACGGAAGUUUAUGACCAGAUUAGUAUUAGUUAUUUUCUUGAAAAUUAAAAAAUUUGGCGGUAUUUUAGUCUUUUCAGAGGAACCUGUUGUAUGAUUGAUAGUCCACGAUUUAUUAUACUUUUAUUAUUAGUUUAUAUAUCGUUGUUGUUUGAAUAUUUUUUAAGGAUUUAAAUAUUCAUAAUUUUCUUUAGAAAGGAAAUCAGAUCAAGAUGUAGCUUAUAUAAAAGAAUUAAUGGGUUACAAUAAAUUAUAUUUAAACGGACAGGGUUUUGAAAAUACUCUUAAAGGUGGAUUUGAAAGUAAUUAGAAUUUAGAUUGUUUUGAUGAUUUAGCUCUAGAAUAUGU
rnacentral:rRNA from 1 species